GGGUCAAAGACAAAAACUCAUACUGUGUUGAAGAGAGAUGAUGACUUAAAAAUGAUGCUCAACAGGAUUACCCUGAGGCCC